AAUUUGAUAGCAUUAUAAAUAUGCACCUUUGGACUAUAAUGGUUAAGUUUAUUUUUCCUUGAGAUUAACCAGUUUAACUGAAACGCACAACUAACAUUUUUGUAGUUAGAUAUUUAACAUCAAAAGUAUACUUCCUUAUCUUUAUCGCUUAAAAAUAAUAAGUGCCGCAACCUUUGACAUAAACAGAUUUACGUAGAGCAUACCAUUUUAUUCAGUGAAAUGAAGACUUGGUUAUAACAUUGAAAUAUUUUAACGUAGAAAAAAUUAAAAUAAGAGGAUUGAAUAUCAAUUAAAUAUAUCAACAAUAUAUUAAUAAAGAUGCAAGAAUAAUACAGAAUCCUAGUUUAGAGAAGAAAGUGAUGGAAUAAAAUUUCAUUGUUAAGAAAAAUAAAUCCAUUAGAUAUACAGACUGCCUUUUCACAGUCAUGGAAUUAAACAAAGAAAUAGAAAAAAUUAUAAACGGAACUGACGAAAGAAACACAUCACUUUGGCCACUGAACAUAACAGAAACAUUAACGUUAUUGUUAGCUGUUGUUUCAAUUUUAAUAAACAUUGUUUUUAUUUACCUUCUUAAAUUUAGUCAAAAUAACGAAAAAGAUGAAAAGAAAAGAAGUGCUUAUCACGUAAUAAGCCAUGUAGGUUAUUUUUUAAUUUGUUUAUUAACCACAAAUAUUGGAUUUAUUAUUAUUACACAUUUAAACAUGAAAAUCGUUUUUCUCGUCCUAUACGAUACGCAUAAUCACUUUUUAUUAGCUCUCUAUUCUUUAAUGAUAAUGUUUAAUGUUAAUUAUACUUUGGAAAACGAAAGUAUGACCAAACACUUCAGUAAAAUUUUAUGGAUUAUAACAAUUACGAUGAUUUUAUAUUCAAUAUCAUUAAUUAUAGUUGAUGAUACUUUAAUCUAUUCAUUUAUAGUUUUACGUGUAAUAGGAUUUUUCCUCAUUAUAACCAUGUUAAUGAUUAGAGUUACAAUUUAUUUGCAAAAAAGUUGUAUUCGGGUUGAAACCGACAUCUUACAAUCCGUUCUUGUGCUAAGCUUUCUAUGUUGCUGGUGUCCAGAUCUUCUUUUUAACGUUUCUCACGUUAAUAUUUUUGAUACGUCGAUGAUAUAUUGUAUUGGAGUGGUUGCGUGUACCAGUAACGUUAUAUUUAAUAUAAUUUUAAUGUUAAUUGUCGAUAGUAAUUUUAAAAUGAGUUUUAGACGUGUUUUUAAUAUUAAUUUUGUAGAGGUUAAUACUAAAAGCAUAUUUGUGUGUGCAUAAUUUAUUUUAGUAUGUAAAUGUUAAUAAAAUAUGCAUUUUGUUAAUAUAUUAAUAGUGUCGUUUAAAGUUGGUAAAAACAUUAUGUUGAAUUUAUUUCAUUUAUUUAAAUAAAAUAUGUUAAUGAAUAAUUAUUUAUCGAAAUACUUAAUCGUUUAGUUGGUUGUAUACAUUUCAAGUAAAUGAAAACAUCUUACUCAGAUUGAUUUUAAUUACCACAGUCAACACUUAUACUUACUAUACACGUCAUUAAUAUAUAGUGCGUACUUUUCUGUACACGCUAUUUAAUUCUACUCAAUUGGCUAUUUGUCUAUAAUGUUGUAAAAUAUUGUGUUUCCUCUUGCUCAAAAUUUCAUUUAGCAAAUUUUUUAAUAUAUUCGCUGACAACUUUUAGUUUAUGUUUGUUUUGAGUGAUAGUAAUCCAACGCAUUUUAACGGUUUGUACCCAAUUCAACCCGCCUUAAAUAAAUUUGUUGCGUUACCAACACAAUGUUUUUUUUUCAUUUAAAUUAGUCUUGUUUGUUUCAGUAUCUUAGAUUACCAAUACUUAUAAUAUCAACUAUUGGAUUGAAUACUAUGCAUACAAGAAUAAAUAAAACAAUCACCACAAAGGAAUCCUUAUGGCAGCUUAAUAUAACAGAGAUAUCUACGUUAAUAAUAGCUUUAAUUUCGAUUUUAGUAAACGUUUUUGUCAUUUAUUUAAUUAAAUAUGGUGAUUACACCGAAACUAAUGAAAAGAAAAGAAGAGGUUAUCACGUAAUAAGCCACGUUAGUUACUAUUUAAUUUUUCUGUUUAUAACAAAAAUUGGAUUUAUUACUAUUUCUUAUUUAAAUUCGACAAUUUUGUUCUUUGUUUUAUACGAUGUUCAUAAUCAUCUUUUAUUGGCUCUUUACUCUUUAAUGAUAAUGUUAAACAUAGAUAAUAUUCUCGCAUUCGAAUCGCUGUGUAAACAUUGUAUUAACAUUUUAUGGAUUGUAACCACAAUAACAAUGAUUUUAUACUCAAUACCACUUAUAAGGGAAGAUAAUUUAAUUUAUUUAUAUGUAAUAUCGCGAGUUAUCGCAUUUUUGAUUAUGAUAGUGAUGUUAACGAUGAAAACUCUCUCUUUUAUACAUAAAUCUAAUGUUCGGAUAGGAAACGAAGUAUUAUUAUGGAUUCUUGUGUCGUGUUUUUUAUGUUGUUGGUGUCCUGAUUAUUAUUUUAAUAUUUUUGUCGUGAAUGCCUUCAAUAUUUCAGUGGUAAAUUGUGUAGGAGCAAUUGUUAGUACUAGUAACGUGAUAUUUAAUAUAACAUUAAUGUUAAUUGAAGACGAAAAUUAUAAAAUGUGUUUUAUAAAUGCGCUAAAAAUUAACAUGGAUAAGGGUUAUACUAAAAAUUCGCCUGUGUAUGUAUAAAGUAAUUGUAUGUGGAUAAAAUAUUAUUUCAAUUUGA
rnacentral:lncRNA from 1 species